AAAAACCUCUUAUGAAAUAUUUUAUUUUAGAAUGAUGAAUAAAAUGUUUAAGACAAAGUGUUCAUAUAUUGCUACCCCUUACUCCCCAAAAAUGUUUUCUAAUAACUAUGUAAUAGGAAGACUUUUAUGUAAGACUAUCUACAGCAGGGGUGUGCAACCUUUUUGG